CACACGUUAACGUUGUGUUUAAAUAAACAAACUGUUUCCAUAUCAGCGCCUUGAGAGACCACUUUAUCCGUCUUGGAGAGUGGCACUGCACGGCCGAGGCGUAACAUUUUGAAAGGUUGUGUUCAGUAGAUAGCCACAGAAAGCAGGGAUCCGUUAACACACCGCGAUUUCUAAAGUGGAGAAUAAAACUACUGAAAAGUUUUGUUAUCGAAGGAACCAUUGGAGUACAUUGUGAGCAGCAAGAAGCCAUUCAACUCCGACCGCCGGUGCGAAGGCUCCAUGGCAUAAAGCCUGUCCUCAGAUACAGCUGGUCCGUUGGGAGAACUGCCGACGGAGCUCACGACUCUGACGCCCCGCUGCUAAUUUCCACAGCCUGAGGGGAACCAGGAAGCAGCCGGCAGGAGCCAUGCCUGCCCUGGCUACCGGAGCCGGACACGAGCCAGGUCUGUACGAGCUGCUGGCGGCUCUGCCCUCCCAGCUGCAGCCCCAUGUCAGCCGCCCGGAGGACAACAUCUUCCUCCAGGACAUGUUUGGGGAGAGAAGCCUCCACUCGCUGGUCAAGGU